GACGAACGCUGGCGGCGUGCUUAACACAUGCAAGUCGAACGGAAAGGCCCUGCUUUUGUGGGGUGCUCGAGUGGCGAACGGGUGAGUAACACGUGAGUAACCUGCCCUUGACUUUGGGAUAACUUCAGGAAACUGGGGCUAAUACCGGAUAGGAGCUCCUGCUGCAUGGUGGGGGUUGGAAAGUUUCGGCGGUUGGGGAUGGACUCGCGGCUUAUCAGCUUGUUGGUGGGGUAGUGGCUUACCAAGGCUUUGACGGGUAGCCGGCCUGAGAGGGUGACCGGCCACAUUGGGACUGAGAUACGGCCCAGACUACUACGGGAGGCAGCAGUGGGAAAUAUUGCACCAUGGGCGGAAGCCUGAUGCAGCAACGCCGCGUGCGGGAUGACGGCCUUCGGGUUGUAAACCGCUUUCGCCUGUGACGAAGCGUGAGUGACGGUAAUGGGUAAAGAAGCACCGGCUAACUACGUG
rnacentral:rRNA from 1 species